rnacentral:rRNA from 1 species
UACGUAGGGACCAAGCGUUGUUCGGAUUUACUGGGCGUAAAGGGCGCGUAGGCGGCGCGGUAAGUCACUUGUGAAAAUCUCUGAGCUUAACUCAGAACGGCCAAGUGAUACUGCAGUGCUAGAGUGUGGAAGGGGCAAUCGGAAUUCUUGGUGUAGCGGUGAAAAUGCGUAGAGAUCAGAUGGAAGAAGACCGGUGGCGAAAGGG